rnacentral:tRNA from 1 species
GACCCCUUGGUUUAGCCGGUGAAAACACUGCCCUUUCAAGGCAGAGAAAGGGGUUCGAGUCCCCUGGGGGUCACCA